CCGAAUACAUUAGCAUGGGAUAAUAGAAUAGGACUAGAGACUAUUUAUUGGUUUAAGGCCUUAGUAAUGAUUAAUAGGAACAGUCGGGGGCAUUAGUACUUGACAGUCAGAGGUGAAAUUCUAGGAUUUGUCAAAGACUAACUAAUGCGAAAGCAUUUGCCAAGCAUGUUUUCAUUAAUCAAGAACGAAAGUUAAGGGAUCAAAGACGAUUAGAUACCGUCGUAGUCUUAACUAUAAACUAUACCGACUCGGAAUUGGACAAUUUAUUUUUGAUUGUUCAGCGCCGUAAGAGAAAUCAAAGUCUUUGGGUUCUUGGUGGAGUACGAUCGCAAGAUUGAAACUUAAAGGAAUUGACGGUUUUGCACCACCAUGGAGUGGAGCCUGCGGCUUAAUUUGACUCAACACGGGAAAACUUAUCAGGGUAAAAAGGUAUUGGGAUUGACAGAUUGAGAGUUCUUUCUUGAUUUAUCUAAUGGUGGUGCAUGGCCGUUCUUAGUUGGUGGAGUGAUUUGUCUGGUUAAUUCCGUUAACGAACGAGACCUUAACCUACUAACUAGUAUCUUGUUCUUCAACAAGACUGCUUCUUAGAGGGACAACGUGUUGUAAACACAUGGAAGUUUAAGGCAAUAACAGGUCUGUGAUGCCCUUAGAUACCCUGAGCCGCACGCGCGCUACAAUGACACUUUCAUCAAGUAUCUGCUGAUCCGAAAGGAUUCCGGCUAAUCUUUUUAGUGAGUGUCGUGCUAGGGAUAGAUCUUUGUAAUUGUGGAUCUUGAACGAGGAAUUCCUAGUAAGCAUGGUUCAUUAGACCAUGCUGAUUACGUCCCUGCAAAAUGUACACAUCGCCCGUCGCUUGCUCCGAUUGAGUAAUCUGGUGAGCCUUCUGGACCAAGCAGUUUGCUGCAAGGGAAAUUAAGCAAACCAUAUUACUUAGAGGAUGAAGAAGUCGUAACAAAGUUUCCGUAGGUGAACCUGCAGAAGGAUCAAAUCGA
rnacentral:rRNA from 1 species